CAAAUACUCCCUCCGUCCGAAAAAUACUUGUCCUCAAAAUGGAUAAAAGGAAAAGUAUCUAGACGUAUUUUAGUUUUAGAUACAUCUCUUUUUAUCCAUUUUGAUGACAAGUAUUUUCAGACGGAGGGAGUAGAAA
rfam:Triticum aestivum genome assembly, contig: Triticum_aestivum_CS42_TGACv1_scaffold_216837_3AS